AGGACAUCUGGAGUGUUACCUUACCCCAUCAGACGUUAGUAUAAUACACUAAACACGAUACUGUUUCUCAUUUUCUUUCAUCCUUAUAACAUGAUGUAAUCAGUUGUUUGGACUCUUGUUAUUAUUUACUAUGCAAUAAGAACACUUCCUAUCAGCCAAGACUAGCAGGAAAAUCUAAUGUUAAUCAGUAUAAUGUCAUUUUGAGUUGAAACUGUAUUUUCAGAAAUUACUCUUUUGCAAAAGAAAGUUACUACUUGCCUCGAGUGAUUCUUCUCUUUUCUUUUUAUUAAAAAAGGCAAAUUUGUGCUCGUUCAUCAUCAUAACUACCGGUAUUCCCACAUUCAGUGCCCGACACGCUUAUGGGUGUAUUUAACCACUAUUUUUGUUAUGCAUUAUAAAAGUCCGCUUUCAUUCACGGUGAAUGCGGGGGUGGCGCUGACAAUGUCAGUAUUUUUUGGGGAAGCCGCAGAAGAUAAGAAGUAUGCAGUAAAAAAGAUGAUCCACUGUUUCUUUUUUUUUUUUUUUUUUUUUUUUUUUUUUAUUAUAGAUGUUUUAAGGCUAUGAAACCCCUCACUACACACUAGAGAUGGACCGAUCCGAUAUUACGUAUCGGUAUCGGUCCGAUACUGACCUAAAUUACUGGAUCGGAUAUCGGAGAGAAAUAAAAAAUGUAAUCGAUCCAUUAAAUAUCAAAAAAGCACCUCACAAAACUUGCGACAUUGCAUAACUCGGCUUAUAACCGUAGCACGUUGGAUCAGUGUGGUCACGUGAUAGAGCGGCUGUGGUGUGCGAUACCUUUUUUUUUUUUUUUUUUUUUUUUUUUAUAUAUAUGUAUCAACACCUGUUGCAGACAAGCGCACACACAAGCAAAGAGAGUCACAAAUACAGGUUUAAUCACAACAACGGGGGAUAAUAAGGUCACAAGAUGACAUUUCAAACUGAUGCAUGACGCAAGUCAUCCUAACGACUGUAUAACGAGCUCGAUGUUGUUUAAAAGCCUGAUAAAUAAACGGUUUAUUUAUUUGUAUGUCGACUGUGGCAAAGAGGUUGCUCUCAUCUGAGGCAGAACUAAGCAGCCAGCCAACAGCUGUUUGUUAUAGGUCAGAUAUUCACGAAUAACUAGGCAUGCGUAUGGAAAAUCUGUGUGCAAGUGAACAACAUAGCAUUGAGGCAAACCAAUUACAGCACGUUUUCAGCUGAAGUUUGGAUGGAAAAAGUGAAGGUGAAAACUGCAUAUGUCUCUGUGUCAACUAAAGAGGCUAAUAAAUACAAGCAUGUAAAAAAAAAGAGAAGAAGCUUGGACUGAAAGUGUGAGAAUAUUUCCACUCCAUCAAAGUCUGUACUGCAGAUAGUUACCCCUUGAAAAUAGCUGUCCAAACAUGUAUAAUGUAAUUAAAAGUAUUUAUAAAAACAACUUUGCGGUUAUUUGUUGUCAUUUAAUCAUCACAGAGUUAUGUUGGCUCAUACGCCACAGAACCAGACAACCCUUUUUUUUUUUUUUUUUUUUUUUUUUUGGCCUGUCCCGUUUGGCUCUUUUGCCAUCAGAAUUGUUGUCUAAAGGCAAAGAAAGAUGCCCAACGGAUUUACUUUACCAAACUGACCAUCCCAGCCUUGCCGUAAUGGUCCAUUUGAUUCACCUUUUAUUGUUUAUUUUAUUUUCACUUACUGAAUACGGGACAGACUUGACUGGGGGAAAGAAGGGGAGAAAGAAAGAGGGAAAGAGAAACAGCUGAGAAGAGGGACAGGGGAGAAGGGCAAAAGACAAAAACCAACAGAACGGGCAGAGAAAAAAAAAUGCAUAUAUCAAUCACCUGGAUCACCUGCUGAGAAAGAAAAAAGAAAGCAAGCAGAAGAGAACAAGAGUAAUAGAAUAAACAACAUCACAAUGAUAUAUGGGAAUAUGACAGUAAAUACUAAAUGUUAAACAUUAUUGUGCAGCACAUAAGAUCAACAGAACACAGUGUGCUUUGAGGUAGGAGCCAAAAAGGGUGUAGUUUGUGGGUGUGAUCACCCGUGUGUACACCUG
ensembl:lncRNA